ensembl:lincRNA Gm29455 predicted gene 29455
GGAGAAAGCAGAACGCCCGGCAAAUGACAGCUGCUGGCCCCAGACAGGGCCAGAGAGAGGAGUUUUACAAGGUGCCACCUCAGAAAGGCACCUGUCAAUCCAAGCCUGCAGUGGCCAGAGGGGUGGCAGGGCAAGGGCAGUCCAGGAUACAGUGAAUGGGACUGCCUACAGUGAAGAUGAGCAGAGAACCGUCCCACAUCAGCUAAUACAUCAAGACUGUCCCUCACAGGCAUAACCAAAGGCUUGUCCUCCAGUGACUCUGACUUGUGUCAAGUUGACAAAUCAGCAGUAGCAGCAGCAGCAGCAGCAUCACCUAACCAGGACAUCCACACCGACCCACUGCUCCUCUUUAAAGGCCACCUGUACUUCACUGGAGAGCUGUCAGCUAAGAGCUGUCCUGUGAGGGGUCUUACAGUCAGGGAUCCCUGAAGCACCAUCCAGAGCCCAGGAAAGAAAGUCCCUCAUUGCAGAUCUCUGACCCUGCUCCAGUCAUGGCAAGGUUGAGGGAGGCAGGUAGAGCAAGACGCCUCUCCAUCUUCAUAAGACCAAGGAGUGCCCUUCCAUGGCCAGUUGCCUAGUCAGGACUCAUCUGUUCCUCACCACAGCCUGUGACGUCGAUAGCCUGACUAUUGUCUAUACUCGACAGAUGGGGAAACUGAGGCCGACAUCAUCAUCAAUGUGGUAUUGAAGCUGACAGUAACACUAAAACUUUCAAGACUCCAUAACAAACGUUCUACAUCAGAAUGAGAACGUGGUGGCCCAUCUCGGGUAGAUAGGUACCCCUGGUGUCCCUGUGUCCCCCAGCAGGCAGACCAUUCCAGAGAAGGCUAAUGUAAUUGAUGACCAGGAAGGAGCAGAGCUAUCCUUCUAGAGAAGGCUCAGAAUUUAGCCUAAGUGACAGUGUGGUCACUGACAAGCAGAACAAAGUUGGACAAGCAGCUUAGCAUUGAAUGUACAUGUGCACAGAGAGGGAGGGUGAGGGAGGGAGGGAGAGAGAGGGAGAGAGAGGGAGAGAGGGAGAGAGAGAGAGAGAGAGAACACAUGCACACGCAGCCCCCUCCACCGGCGCUCUCAAGUGCCCUGUGUGAGUGAGUGGGUGGAUAGUGGGAGCCGUGAAGCCGCUUCCCGGAGACAAUCUCUGCAGCUCACUCGGAGCCCCCUUCUUGGCUGGGUGUCAACCCCAGCCUUAUGCACAGGCAGCUGCCUCUAGGGAAUGAUUUAAAGGGCUCCAAGAAGCAGUCCACCCGUUGAAAAUGGCCCCCAUCCCUGGCCAGCAUGCUCACCUACCUGCCACGGGCCUUUCUAAAAGCGUGCUGAGAUCCUGAAGCCAAGGAGACUGCCCACAGUGGACUCCGAGUCCUGGCACUGCACCGAGGGACCCCCCCACAGCCUUCAUUGUGUCUGCCCAACACCCACUCUGCCUCCCCACCCCUCAACGGGUUCAAUCUGUAGCUCAGGAUCCUCUUGGUUAUAAUGGGGGAUCCCAGGCCCAGAGAGUGAUGAGGCCAUUCAGGCCUCUAGUGGGUAGGAGCAGAGUUUGUGCUCCCACCUAGGGACCUGGGCCACUUCACUUUGCCAUCAUAGUAUAAAGUCCAAAAAUCAGACCAUCCCAAGACUAGGCCAUCUGCAAAAACAGAGUGGAAACCCAGGUGUAGGGACUGAGGAGGAAGGGGGAGAUGAGGGAGACGAGGGGGGGAGUGGUGGGCACUCGCAUGAGGGUUGGGGGUCAGUCCUAAGGAAGUCUGUAGACGUCACAGUUCAGCCAUCUGAAGCUGACCUAGAAGCUGAGGUGCUCGUCUGCAGCUGGAGUCUCAUCACUUGGGAGGCUAAAGCAGGAGUCUCUCCAGUUCAAGCUCAGCCUGCACGGUGAGCCUGUCUCAAAACCAAAAACUCAGAAAAAAAAAAAAGCAAAGCAGCAGGGGGGGGUGGCACCGGACAGGUACAAGGGACAUGGAGACAAGUGGGACGGGGGUGCAUGGGAAUCACAAAGAGCCAAUAAAAUGUUAAAAUGAAUUAAGUAGUUAAUUAAAGAGAAGUGGAGGCAGGAGGAUCAGAAACUGACGGUCGUUCUUUAUACUUCGUAAGUUUGAGGUCAGCCUGAGCAACCGGUGACCCGGCCUUAACCUUCCUCCGGCUUUUCCCCUGAAGAAGAGGUUCUGGAAGGGAAAUGGGGAGCCGUGUUCUGGUUAAAGAACUCCGAGGCCUCUAGUGACUCUUCUCAGUGAAUACUUCUAAUCAUCAGGGUACUCCAUAAGGACAUCCAACCAGGGUCUCUAUUUUCAGAUAUUCUCUCUAUUCUCAUGAGGAAGUUGAAGCACAGAGCAGGUAAGUAACUUGAUCAAGGUCACACAGCUGGCAAAUAACAGAAUCUGGAUUCCCAGUCAAGUCCCUGACCCCAGAAAUCUUUUUUUCCCCACACUCUGGGUGGUGUGUGUGUGUGUGUGUGUGUGUGUGUGUGUGUGUGUGUGGUAUGUGUGUGUGUCUGUGUGUCUGUGUCUGUGGGCAAAGUGUCUCAGUAUACUCUGUCUUGAACUCUUGUACAUGGUCAAAGCCUUUUAAAAUAGGUUGCUGAAACCAAAUCAAAGAUCUCGUUCUCCUUUUAAAAUUUU